GUCUACGGUCAUGCCACUUUGAACAAACCCGAUCCUGUCUGAUCUCAGAAGCUAAGCAGGGUUGGGCCUCGUUAGGACUUGGAUGGGAGACCACCUAGGAAGACCAGGUGCUGUAGGCA
rnacentral:rRNA from 1 species